CCUACGGGUGGCAGCAGUGAGGAAUAUUGGUCAAUGGGCGGAAGCCUGAACCAGCCAAGUAGCGUGAAGGAUGACGGCCCUACGGGUUGUAAACUGCUUUUAUACGGGAAUAACGCGCCUUACGUGUAGGGUUGUGCAUGUACCGUAAGAAUAAGGAUCGGCUAAUUCCGUGCCAGCAGCCGCGGUAAUACGGAAGGUGCGGGCGUUAUCCGGAUUUAUUGGGUUUAAAGGGUGCGUAGGCCGGAUGUAAAGCGUGCUGUGAAAUGUCCGGGCUCAACCCCGGCCUUGCCGUGGGAACUGUCGUGCUUGAGUCCGCGGAAAGCAGGCGGAAUUCGCCGUGUAGCGGUGAAAUGCUUAGAUAUGGCGAAGAACCCCGAUUGCGAAGGCAGCGUACUGCAGCGGAACUGACGCUGAUGCACGAAAGCGCGGGUAUCGAACAGGAUUAGAUACCCCAGUAGUC
rnacentral:rRNA from 1 species